GACGAACGCUGGCGGCGUGCUUAACACAUGCAAGUCGAACGGAAAGGCCCUGCUUUUGUGGGGUGCUCGAGUGGCGAACGGGUGAGUAACACGUGAGUAACCUGCCCUUGACUUUGGGAUAACUUCAGGAAACUGGGGCUAAUACCGGAUAGGAGCUCCUGCUGCAUGGUGGGGGUUGGAAAGUUUCGGCGGUUGGGGAUGGACUCGCGGCUUAUCAGCUUGUUGGUGGGGUAGUGGCUUACCAAGGCUUUGACGGGUAGCCGGCCUGAGAGGGUGACCGGCCACAUUGGGACUGAGAUACGGCCCAGACUCCUACGGGAGGCAGCAGUGGGGAAUAUUGCACCAUGGGCGGAAGCCUGAUGCAGCAACGCCGCGUGCGGGAUGACGGCCUUCGGGUUGUAAACCGCUUUCGCCUGUGACGAAGCGUGAGUGACGGUAAUGGGUAAAGAAGCACCGGCUAACUAC
rnacentral:rRNA from 1 species